rnacentral:sRNA from 1 species
AUGGCUGUCGUCAGCUCGUGUCGUGAGAUGUUGGGUUAAGUCCCGCAACGAGCGCAACCCUUACUUUUAGUUGCCACCAUUUAGUUGAGCACUCUAAAAGAACUGCCAGUGAUAAGCUGGAGGAAGGCGGGGAUGACGUCAAGUCCUCAUGGCCCUUACGUGUUGGGCUACACACGUGCUACAAUGGCAUUUACAAUGAGAUGCAAAGAGGCGACUCCAAGCCAAUCUCAAAAAGAUGCCUCAGUUCGGAUUGUACUCUGCAACUCGAGUACAUGAAGCUGGAAUUGCUAGUAAUCGCGGAUCAGCACGCCGCGGUGAAUACGUUCCCGGGUCUUGUACACACCGCCCGUCACACCAUGGAAGUUGGUUACACCUGAAGGCAAAACGUAAAACUUUUGACUACGGUACGAUCAGCGACUGGGGUGAAGUCGUAACAAGGUAGCCGUAGGGGAACCUGCGGCUGGAUCACCUCCUUUCUAAGGAAAUCGAAAAAUAUUAAAACAAUUAUUUUCGAUUUAAAAAAAACGGUUAAUGUGACCGUCCUCAUUUCUCUUCUUUUAAUGUCUCUGAGUAAGUGUAAGUAAGGGGCCGGUAGCUCAGGUGGUUAGAGCGCACCCCUGAUAAGGGUGAGGUCGGAAGUUCGAGUCUUCCUCGGCCCACCAAUAUUACGGGGGAUUAGCUCAGCUGGGAGAGCGCCUGAUUUGCAUUCAGGAGGUCAGCGGUUCGAUCCCGCUAUCCUCCACCAAAUUUGAGACAUUUAGCUUUUUUAAAUUGUAAAUAUUAUUAUCAAUAUCUAUAUCCGAUUGUUUUCAGAAUUUUUUUGAAAACAAUCAAAACAAAAAUUUAAUUUAUUACAGAAAAAAUUUUUUUCUGUGCAUAAAUCAAGCGUUUAAGGGCGAUUGGCGGAUGCCUUGGCACUGUAAGACGAUGAAGGACGUGGUAUACUGCGAUAAGUUUCGGGGAGCCGUAUGCAGGUUUUGAUCCGAAAAUUUCCGAAUGGGGAAACCCGG